rnacentral:rRNA from 1 species
CUCGAAUAAAUUAUUAGAUUCUCGAUUCUAGUAGUUGAGGCUAGUAGCGGUUCUAGUAUUAUCGAGGAGGUAGUAGACUUAUAUAGGCUUCUUAUUAGGAUCUCUAAGUAAAUCUUUAAUACUAGAUCUAAGCUAAGAUACUAGCCUAUCGUUGUUAUAGACGAGGAUAGCGUAAAGUAUUAUAGUAACGAGAAAAAGGUAGAGCCUUAGUAUAUCUAUAANAAUCUCGAAUAAAUUAUUAGAUUCUCGAUUCUAGUAGUUGAGGCUAGUAGCGGUUCUAGUAUUAUCGAGGAGGUAGUAGACUUAUAUAGGCUUCUUAUUAGGAUCUCUAAGUAAAUCUUUAAUACUAGAUCUAAGCUAAGAUACCAGCCUAUCAUUAUUAUAGACGAGGAUAGCGUAAAGUAUUAUAGCAACGAGAAAAAGGUAGAGCCUUAGUAUAUCUAUAAAAAAAGAUCUUGGGGUAUAGAUAAUAGACUAUCUAAGAAUAUAGAGAUGGUAGUAAGUAUGUUAUUAAUAUUUUUAUAGUUAAUCUGGAAUAUAUUAUUGGAUUCUCGAUUCUAGUAGUGGAGGCUAGUAGCGGUUCUAGUAUUAUUAAGUAGUUAGUAGACUUAUAUCGGCUUCUUAUCGGGAUCUCGAAGUAUACCUUUAAUACUAGAUCUAAGCUAAGAUACUAGCCUAUUAUUAUUAUUAUCGUUAUCCUCUUCUACUCUAUUUGCGUCGUUAGAAAUUAGGGCGUUAAAAUUUAGGGCGUUGAAAGUUAGGGCGUUUAAAGUUAGGGGGUUAAAAGUUAGGGGGUUAAAAGUUAGGGGGUUAAANUCUAGUAGUUGAGGCUAGUAGCGGUUCUAGUAUUAUCGAGGAGGUAGUAGACUUAUAUAGGCUUCUUAUUAGGAUCUCUAAGUAAAUCUUUAAUACUAGAUCUAAGCUAAGAUGCCAGCCUAUCGUUGUUAUAGACGAGGAUAGCGUGAAGUAUUAUAGUAACGAGAAAAAGGUAGAGCCUUAGUAUAUCUAUAAAAAAAGAUCUUGGGGUAUAGAUAAUAGACUAUCUAAGAAUAUAGAGAUGGUAGUAAGUAUAUUAUUAAUAUUUUUAUAGUUAAUCUGGAAUAUAUUAUUGGAUUCUCGAUUCUAGUAGUAGAGGCUAGUAGCGGUUCUAGUAUUAUUAAGUAGUUAGUAGACUUAUAUCGGCUUCUUAUCGGGAUCUCGAAGUAUACCUUUAAUACUAGAUCUAAGCUAAGAUACUAGCCUAUUAUUAUUAUUAUCGUUAUCCUCUUCUACUCUAUUUGCGUCGUUAGAAAUUAGGGCGUUAAAAUUUAGGGCGUUAAAAGUUAGGGCGUUUAAAGUUAGGGGGUUAAAAGUUAGGGGGUUAAAAGUUAGGGGGUUAAAAGUUGGGGCGUUAGAAGUUGGGGUGUUAAAAGUUGGGAGUAGAAGCCUAACUAUAAUUAUUAGGGUUAGAGUUUUCUAACUUNGUUUAAAGUUAGGGCGUUAAAAGUUAGGGGGUUAAAAGUUGGGGCGUUAAAAGUUGGGGCGUUAGAAGUUAGGGUAUUAAAAGUUAGGAGUAGAAGCCUAACUNUAGGUUUCUAUAGGGUAUAGGAACCUAUAUCGAGUAUAAAAAGUUAAGAAAAGAGAGUUCUAUUUUAUUUCCUCUCCCAAGUGGGAGUUUAAAUCAAACUUGGUAAAAACCGACUUUUUUCUAACUUUUUAACGACGGCGAGGUAGAACCUAGUAUUAUAGAUCUAGGUUUCUAUAGGGUAUAGGAACCUAUAUCGAGUAUAAAAAGUUAAGAAAAGAGAGUUCUAUUUUAUUUCCUCUCCCAAGUGGGAGUUUAAAUCAAACUUGGCAAAAACCAACUUUUUUCUAACUUUUUAACGACGGCGAGGUGGAACCUAGUAUCUUUAUAGAGGAUACCUUAGGCCUUCCUUAGGUAAUAUCUAAAGAGAAAAUAGUAAAAAGUCUAAUAUUAGUCUAUUCCUAAGUACCUUUAGACCUAUAGAGUAAUAGCGCGUAGGCCCUAGACGAUCCGUAGCCAAACCAGCCGCCUCCCUAGGGAGCGCGGGUGUAGUUCAACGACUAAAUGGUAGUCGGGCCCCCCCGGGGGCCCCAAGAUAUAGUCUACCGGAGAGCCUAACGGCCUCCGCUCGGAAAGAGCUCUUAAGGUAGCCAAAUACCUCGUUAUCUAAUUAGUAACGCGUAUAAAUGGAUUAACGAGAUUCCUACUAUCCCUAUCUACUAUCUAGCGAAACCACAGCCAAGGGAACGGGCUUGGUAGAAUUAGCGGGGAAAGAAGACCCUAUUGAGCUUAACUCUAGUUUGAUAUUGUAAAAAGAUAUAGGGGGUAUAGAAUAGGUGGGAGCUUCGGCGCCGGUAAAAUACUACUACCCUUAUCGUUUUUUUACUUAUUCAAUUAAGUAGAACUAGACUUUACCGUCCAAUUUCUUGUAUUAAGGUCCUUCGCGGGCCGAUCCGGGUUGAAGACAUUGUUAGGUAGGGAGUUUAGCUAGGGCGGUAUAUCUAUUAAACUAUAAUAUAGGUAUCCUAAGGGGGACUUAUAGAGAAUAGAAAUCUCUAGUAGAGCAAAAGGGUAAAAGUCCCCUUGAUUUUGAUUUUUAGUAUGAAUACAAACUAUAAAAGUAUGGCCUAUCGAUCCUUUAGUCCCUCGGAAUUUAAGGCUAGAGGUACUAGAAAAGUUACUAUAGAGAUAACUAGCUUAUAGUAGCCAAGCGUUUAUAGCGACGUUGCUUUUUAAUCCUUCGAUAUCGGCUCUUCCUAUUAUACCGAAGUAGAAUUCGGUAAGCGUUGGAUUGUUUACCUACUAAUAGGGAAUAUAAGCUAGGUUUAGACUGUCGUAAGAUAGGUUAGUUUUACCCUACUAAUAACCGUCGCCCCAACGGUAAUUCCGCUUAGUACAAGAGGAACCGUAGAUUUAGAUAAUUAGUUUUUACGGCUAUCCGACCAGGUAGUACCGCGAAGCUACUAUCUACUAGAUUAUAGCUAAACGCCUCUAAGUUAGAAUCUAUACUAGAACGGGGUAAUUUACCCCUAUAUACUUUACUCGUAUACGAAUAGGCUUCGGCCCCGGACCUUAGUAGGCCGACAACGGGGUAGCCCCCGAAACGGGCCCCCCUAGUUAGCGCAUU